GACGGAGGGGGCUAGCGUUGUUCGGAAUUACUGGGCGUAAAGCGCGCGUAGGCGGCGAACCAAGUUGGGCGUGAAAGCCCGGGGCUCAACCCCGGAAUAGCGCUCAAAACUGGUUUGCUCGAGUCCGAGAGAGGUGAGUGGAAUUCCCAGUGUAGAGGUGAAAUUCGUAGAUAUUGGGAAGAACACCAGUGGCGAAGGCGGCUCACUGGCUCGGCACUGACGCUGAGGUGCGAAAGCGUGGGGAGCAAACAGG
rnacentral:misc_RNA from 1 species